CUCAUUUUACCUUCCAUGCCUGAAACAGCUUUCUCCACUACGUAUACCUGGUAAACUCCUACUUGUCCGGGCUCAGGUCAGGCACCACCUCCUCCAAGAAGCCUUCUCUGAUUCCCUCAGGCACAGGUCACCUGUCUUUUCCCACACUCCCACCACACCCAGUCGGUUUCUCUGGGAAACCUUUGUUCAGUAGGGCCUGCUAGCCUAAAAGAUCUUGUCGAGCUUUAUUUGCCAUAGUCAUAUUAUGAAAAUAGGGAUUUUUUUAUUCCCUUCCAAAUACAAAAUGAUGUUUUAACAGUUAAUGUAAAUUUUCAAUCAAUGUCUACCCCUACCCCAGACAGUCUGAAUUACUCCCCUGGAGAGAUGUCUUCCCUACCCUUGAUUGAAAAGCUGCAGCAAAACAUCCCUCAUUGAUUCAGUAAACAUCCAGGUGGCCCCUUUGGUGGAAAGCAUCAUGCUGAGCACUGGACACACAAAUUAUAAAAGUGUGUUAUAAUUGUCCCUUUCUCUGUACUAGCUAGGAAAAUGCAGGGAAGAUUCCUGCCAAACUGUUUAACUGACACUACUUUGGAAGCUGGUGUUACAGGGACGGAUGGGGGACUUUCCCUUAGUACAUUAUGUAAUUUUAAAGUGAUAGGGUUAGGGGUGUUUUUUACUUUCUUAGCAUUUUUCAAGUAAAACAUUUCUUAGUGGUUCAUUGGUGUGUGUUUCCCUACAAGACUGGGAGCCUUUAGGGGGCAAGGAAGGGUCUGAGUCACUUCUAAGUCUUUAGCUUCCCGCCAGGGCCUGACACACAGGGGGCUAGGAAAUGUCUGUGAAAUGACCAUAGGACAGAGCUGAGCAGUCAUGGGAAGUAGAAUUGGCAGGCCCAAGAGACAUAGACUGAGGAGAGGGGUCAAGCCCAGGGGUGGAAUGGCUGUGGAUGCAGGGAGGCAGUAACACAGGAGGAAUGUGGUACCCACGUUCCGGGUUGUUCCUGGUCGGCAUGGUGCCUGGAACUGGGGAUAAACAUUCGUCUGUUGGGGAAAUGAGGUCACAGGGUGACAGAACUCCCAGAAAACAAACUCUUGGUCCUGGCUUUGCAAUUGCAGACAACAGGACUGAGCAGAUCAGAGCUGGGGAGGGAGGAGCCAGAGGAAGGGGUUGGCAGGACGGUUAGAGGAGGCGUCCUUGAGAAUCAGAGACUGGGCGGAACAGCAGGUGGCAGAGGACUAGCUUGCUACAGCCUGGGUCGCUGGGUCCUUGGGUCGCAGGGAACUUGGGGGAGGUGGUUCUAGGAGUUUACAAACAGAAGGAAUGCCUCCUGCUCCCAAGGGGGAAUGGCUUGGCCGGUUUGCACUGGGUGGCUCUCUCCCUCCCCCUCCCUGUGGCCUUUGUUCCUUCCACAGAUAUUUCCUCAGGCAUCUUCAGACACAGCACUGGUGAUUAGGGCCAGAAGGAGAGGAAAGGGCUGGGGACCCUCAGAGGAGGCAGGAGGCAGGAGGCAGGAGAUUAUAAACCAGCUGGAGGGAGGAAAGUCAUGGAAAACUUCCUGGAGGUGUGGACUCCCAAGCUGAGGCUUAAAGGCUGAAGAGGAGCUGUCCAGGUAAAGAGAGGGAGUUGACUUCCAGGUAGAAAGGAGAACAGAGCAGGGGCACUGAUACUUGAGACCCAGUGAGGAGCCCCAAGCCUUGGUGUUGCUCCGUGAAGAACUAACUGCAUGUGCUGUGAGGCAACCUCCUGCUGCUGGGGUCUCUGGUGGCCAGAGUGGGAAAGCUGGGGACAAUAGCUAAAGGCAGCGGCCCUGCGUCCUAUGGUUAGAGCCCUGGACUCCCAGGCCUGGCUGCAGGGCUAUCCUGCCCCUUGUGCUCACCGGGUGACCUCGGCCAGGAUGAGGAUUUGUGGAUUCAAGGAGGUCACCGUUAGUACAGCACCUGCCAGACUCUAGUUACAGUCACCAUGGCGAGCCAGCCAUUGUGAGGCUAAGUUUGGAAGAGCCGUCACAGGGCAGCGGGCACAGAUUGCUGUGUGUGUCUCUACAGAACCAGGCCCGGAGGCAGGAAGCCCUAAGAAGGCAGAUACCAGCUCAGCGUUAAGGACGGUCUCACAUGGAAGCGUUGAUGUAAUCAAAGUAAAUGAGGUCAUUGGGCCCUAAUCCAGUGAUCGGUGGGAAGUGUGAACACAGAGACAGACGUGCACAGAGAGAAGGUGGCCAUAUGACCAUGGAGGCAGAGAUUGGAGCGAUCCAGCUAUGAGAACACCAAGGAUUUCUGGUACCUCCAGAAGCUAGAGGAAGCAAAGAGGGGUUCUCCCUAGAGCCACCCAGUUUGUGGGGCUUUGUCAUGACAGCCGCAGGAAACAAAUACAGCCACUAACUCAUGA